UCGAACGGGGAUCACAGGGUUAGCAAUAACUCUGCGGUUCUAGUGGCGCACGGGUGAGUAACACGUGGGUAACCUGCCCUUGAGACUGGGAUACCCCCUCGAAAGGGGGGCUAAUACCGGAUACGUUCCUCGGAUCGAAAGGUCUGAGGAGGAGAGGUGGCGAAAGCUGCCGCUCUUGGAGGGGCUCGCGGCCUAUCAGCUAGUUGGCGGGGUAACGGCCCACCAAGGCUAUGACGGGUAGCUGGUCUGAGAGGACGACCAGCCACACGGGGACUGAGACACGGCCCCGACUCCUACGGGAGGCAGCAGUGGGGAAUUUUCCGCAAUGGGCGAAAGCCUGACGGAGUGACGCCGCGUGUGGGACGAAGGCUUCGGGUCGUAAACCACUGUCAGUGGGAAAGAUGGGUGUCGGCGCGACAACCGCCGGCAUUUGACGGUACCUGCA
rnacentral:rRNA from 1 species